rnacentral:lncRNA from 1 species
AUAACAUUAGGGAAGGAAGACAAAUCAGUUCAGUGGGUGUAGGCUGCUUAGUCCUCUUUUGAUUAAGAACUUCUCCUCAGCUGUAUGCCCCUCCUUUCUGUGCAAAGGACCAGCUCUCUCUGCUGACCCAGAGUACAGGCAGCCACUGCCACGACUACAGAGGAAGGAUGGUGGAGCAUACUUGCUAGAUGGAAGAAAGAGAUACUGCCAUUGCACAGCCGACCAAGAUCCUCUCACCUUUUAGA